AUGAUCUCCCUAUCUAGCUUGUUGAGUGGUCGGGCCGUCUGUUCAAGGCUUGUCGCUUCUGCUGAGGUGCCGGGGCCGGACGCUUCUGCUGAGUGGCCUGAAGCUCCUGCUGAGUGGCCUGAAGCUUCCGCUGAGGCGCCUGAAGCUUCCGCUGAGGCGCCUGAAGCUUCUGCUGAGGCGCCGGGGCCUGAAGCUUCUGCUGAGGCGCCGGGGCCUGAAGCUUCUGCUGAGGCGCCGGGGCCUGAAGCUUCUGCUGAGGCGCCGGGGCCUGAAGCUUCUGCUGAGGCGCCGGGGCCUGAAGCUUCUGCUGAGGGGCCGGACUUCACACUUGACGUGGCAUUGUGGCCAGUAGCUUCCGCUGACGUGGCUUUGUGGCCAGUUGCUUCCGCUGUCGUGGCAUUGUGGCCAGUAGCUUCCGCUGACGUGGCAUUGUGGCCAGUAGCUUCCGCUCACGUGGCAUUGUGGCCAGUAGCUUCCGCUCACGUGGCAUUGUGGCCAGUAGCUUCCGCUCACGUGGCAUUGUGGCCAGUAGCUUCCGCUCACGUGGCAUUGUGGCCAGUAGCUUUAACAUUUGGACCAGACACCACACUUGCUUGGGCAUAGGAUCCAGUCGGUUCAGGUCCAGUGUAGGCAGGAUGCCCAUGAGCGUUACCUAGGAAACAAAGAGAACAUUGUGGUAAAAUGCCAGCCUUCAUUUGGAUCGGAACUAGACCUGUGAUUUGACCUGAAUUAGUGUAAACCAAAACGCACCUUUAAGUGUAAAACAAGUUAUCCCUCCAAUUAGCAGGCAACAAAUCCAAGAAACACUACAAAACAGUCAGACAGUUAAACAUAAAUAACCAGUGAAGACUAAGACAAGGUAAACAAACCAGAUGAACGCAUUGAAAAACUAACCUCAAAGAGAGUCCAAAAGUCACAGCCAUUUUAGUGAUCAAAACCACAACAGUAUUCAAGAACUAAUUCUCGACAGCCUGCCAGAAUAUCCCUGUUGCUAUGUCAAACAGCUGUUUUGGUUGCACCUCAUAAAGGAAUCCCAGACCCUUCUCACCUAACUGGCU
rnacentral:lncRNA from 1 species